rnacentral:rRNA from 1 species
GACAGGCGGUAUGGGCAGAGAUACCUACGUGAUUACUCACGCCGUCCGCCACUCGAUUGGCCACCAAAAUCUAUCAGGUGCGAGCACCAUCAAUCAAUUGGGCCAACGCGUUCGACUUGCAUGUAUUAGGCACACCGCCGGCGUUCAUCCUGAGCCAUGAGCAAACUCU